GGUUGGUGCAAAAGUAAUUGUGGUUUUUGCCGUUGAAAGUAAUGGCAAAAAUCGCAAUUACUUUUGCACCAACCUAAUA
rnacentral:miRNA from 1 species